ensembl:ncRNA F13A7.15 ncRNA
AAAUUUUAUAGAAUUUUCUCAGAAAGUUUUGGAAUUUUUUGAAUUAUUUAUUCUAAAAAAUAUUUUGGAUUUUUUCAGAAU